rnacentral:rRNA from 1 species
UGGGGAAUUUUGGACAAUGGGCGCAAGCCUGAUCCAGCCAUGCCGCGUGCGGGAAGAAGGCCUUCGGGUUGUAAACCGCUUUUGUCAGGGAAGAAAUCUUCUGAGUUAAUACCUCGGGAGGAUGACGGUACCUGAAGAAUAAGCACCGGCUAACUACGUGCCAGCAGCCGCGGUAAUACGUAGGGUGCAAGCGUUAAUCGGAAUUACUGGGCGUAAAGCGUGCGCAGGCGGUUUUNUAAGACAGAGGUGAAAUCCCCGGGCUCAACCUGGGAACUGCCUUUGUGACUGCAAGGCUUGAGUGCGGCAGAGGGGGAUGGAAUUCCGCGUGUAGCAGUGAAAUGCGUAGAUAUGCGGAGGAACACCGAUGGCGAAGGCAAUCCCCCUGGGCCUGCACUGACGCUCAUGCACGAAAGCGUGGGGAGCAAAACAGGAUUAGAUACCCCU